rnacentral:lncRNA from 1 species
AAAUAGGUUAGUUUUCAUUUGAUUUUAUUUCCACUGAGGUUAAAGUACAAGUUUAACAGACAUCACAGAAUAGUUAUCAUUAUGCAAUCAUAACCUCCAAAACAAUCUUACUACUUCACAGUGAAAACCUUGCUCACACAAACAUGGUACAUCUUAAUUAUAAUUGAAUAAAUGUAUAUAAAUGUGUCCUUAACAAAAUCUUGUGACUGCUUAUAUCUUCCAUGUAACAGUAAUAUUAUAAAUGCAAAUUUUCUGAACACAAAAAAAUCUGGUCAAUCAUGGUUAUAUACUGAUGAAAAAUUCUCUAAUUGUAGACUAGGACUGGAUUUUUAUAUGAAUAACUUUAUUCAUCAAAGAUGCCCCAUUCCUUUCAACAGUAGGCCUGUAAAAAUAUUUGGUACAUAUUUAUCUUGUGUUUGAAAUUAAUUUAUUUAGUUCCAGAAAAGAAGCACGUGUAUGUGUUUCUAGUCUGGUUUAUUUCAUGAUUAAAAGAAAGAAAUGUUUGUUAAAACAAAACAAAACUGUUUCCCUCUCAACCCAUAUAAAACUUGAUUGCACUUGACUUCAUAUAACUUUUCAAAAAGAAAUAAGGAAUUAUAUAUCAGUGUAUCCCAAACUCUGCCUGUCCGACAAAAUGUCCGACAAAAAGUCAUUCGGUCAGACAGAGAUUUUCAGAAUUUUUAGUUGAAUAUAUAGAAGAAAAAUGUCAAAUUUCUCAUUCAAUCAGGCAAACCCUAAAACAUUUUGGCACAGACUGAUAUAUAUGACAAAAAAUUGUCUAUAAAUUUAAUAGAAAUCAAAAUGAAAUGGUUGACAGACAAAGGAUAACUUCUGGAUUGGUCCCAUAUUUUGAAUAUAUUUUGGCUGAUAUUAAUCGUAAGUGUUCAACUAUUUCAAUCAUUACAACCUGAACUACAACAAAUUUCUUAAAAAACUGAAUGAUUUCUAACAUUUAAUGCCACUCUUUACUCUAAAUAAAUUCUCAUGCAAGUUUUUGUUUGUAUUUAUCAUUUCAAUAGCGUGAAUAAAACUUGGUCACACAAUCUUGGCAAGACAGUAUUAUAUGUUAUACACAGGUUUAUUGUCAUGGAUAAUCAAUCUUGUCAUUAUAUUGUGGUAGGAAUUUUAUAUAUAUAAUGUAAUAUUAUAUAAAUAUCAUGAAUUUUAGUUGAUUAUAAAAGAGCAGAAGGAUACCAAAUGGACAUUCAAACUCAUAAGUCAGAAACAAACUGACAAAGCAAAGGCAAAAAAUUAGGAAUUCAUUAUUAUAUGACAUCAAUAGUAUUACAAUAUAGUAAUUACUCUUAAAACAAAGAUUCCUGUAUGUAUAUAUUCAGAUUUCUUAUUUAAAAAGGUAGCGAGGUUAAAGAUAGUUUUACAUUCUUUACAAAAUCAAAAAGUAUGAAUGAAAGUAUAAUAUUUAUAUUAACUACUGUGGAUUCAUUAAUAUUCGAUGGAUACCAAUUUUUGUGGGUACAGGCGAACCACGAAAUUAAAUGUUCAAAGAAUAACAAAUUUUCUAUAGGUUUCUAUGCAGACUUCCGCAAAACCACAAAAUAGGAUAUCCCCGAACAUGUAAGUUUUCCUUAAUGCACGAAAUUGGUACCCACGAAAAUAAAUGAAUCCACAGUAAUGUAUAAAUUCUUUAGAAAACAUUUAUGAAUACAAAACAAAUUGUAUAAACUGGCUAAAAUGUUUAAAUUAUCCUACUUCAGAAUCAGCAGGAGAGUAAUACACUUCCUAAAUGUAUUAUUUUACAAAACAAUAAAUGAAUUUCUAAAAUUCAUACUUUGUCAGGUGACACAUAAUUUACCUUACCUCAAAACUGAGAUAAAUAUUUUGACCCUGUAAAAUGACUGAUAUUUACAUACACUUGCAGGUGAGACAGUAUUAAAAGUAUCACUGUUUAAAAAACAUCUAACAUUAAGGCAUCUAGUGACAACAACACUAUACAGGGGUCAACAAUCAACAAGCUAUUAUACUGUAUCAUAUAUAUAUACAUGUCAAAAGAUUUAUACCAUUUUGUUAACUUGGUAUUAAGCAGUAAAAUUUAUGGCUUGUAUUUAAUCAAACUAAAAAAAUCUGAAUAAGCAGCAAAAACUUGAAAAGUAUUUCAUUUUCAGCUUUUGUUUUGAGAAUCUUAAUAUCAUUGAAUCUACAAGAUUUUUUUUUAUUAUGAAACCAGUUUUAAAGGAAUGUUUAUAUCAAGAUGCCAUUUUGAUAAUGUUAAUAUAUUCUUGAAUAUAAAAUGAUAACGACUUAAAAUGAAAGUGCUAUAUUUACAUAUAUAAAAAGAACCAUGACAUUAAGACUUAAACCGUGGGCUAUGUUAAAAUAUUUGACGUAAAAUUUAUAACAUAACAGAAUAAAACAGAACUUUUUUUCUAACUUAACAAA